AGGGCUAACGCAAACCGGUGAAAAUGAAAACCGAACGAGGGAGACGACUUGUUCCACAGGAACAGGAAAGUGAGGAAAAAUAUGAAACAAAACUUAAAUAUAAUCUCAACAAACGCACAAAUCAUGACAUUAAAUGUUUUUGGAGAUGGUAACAGGGGAAAAUAAUUCAUUUGGAUACAUUUGAGUUGGCCUGCUUUGUUAAAAAAAAUCCUUAGUUGUGACGUUCCCUCGCAGAAGGAAUCCCGUCGGGCACGAAGCAUCUCACCGAGCUGAAACUGGUCCGAGCUGUUGCUGCACGUCUGCUGCACUUCCUCGCUGUCCCAUCCGAGUGGAUAAAGUGCGCAGCCCGAUCCGAUGAGCAGGCCUAGAAAACGAGUUGGGGGACAGUUUUAAAAUGGCUUACUUUGACCAGGAUCCCUCACACGCCACAACCACAGGUAAAAUCCGGGGUCUGUUUGGUGCCCCUUGGUGUCAAAAUUCGUCCCUGACUGAACCAAAUUGCUUUUCCAGUUCACCCACCGCUGCUUACCCUGUGCUGUGUUCGAUCAACGUUUUGCCGUUAAAUCUACAUUUGACUUCUUCAGCAAUGGCUCCUUCUGCUUUCAUGACAAACCUUUAGAGAGCUCUGUGAAACUCAAGUCAAAAUAGAGAUCCCCGUGAUUCUUUGACUCGUUUUGAUUCGAAUCCAGAGAAUCUGAGUAGGGAUCUGUUUUAUCUGGAUUCGUGAGUCAAUCCGAAUCACCACUGAUUCAUUGGUAGCACUACUUUACACUCCCAAUCCGAAUGUACCACAACGCCAAC